CAAUAGCGUAUACUAAAGUUGUUGCAGUUAAAAAGCUCGUAGUUGAAUUUCUGGUUGUGAAAGAUGGUCCGUUCCUCAAGGAAUGUGUACUAAUCAUUCAUGGCCAUCCUCGGGGAGAAUGUGUGUUACUUUCAGUAGUCGUGCACAGGAACCCCGUCAUUUACUGUGAGCAAAAUAGAGUGUUCAAAGCAGACUUAUGCCGUUGAAUAUAUUAGCAUGGAAUAAUAAGAUAUGACUUUGGUCUAUUUUGUUGGUUGCUUUCCCAAAGUAAUGAUUAAUAGGGAUAGUUGGGGGGUAUUCGUAUUCAAUUGUCAGAGGUGAAAUUCUUGGAUUUAUGGAAGACGAACUACUGCGAAAGCAUUUACCAAGGAUGUUUUUCAUUAAUCAAGAACGAAGUUAGGGGAUCGAAGACGAUUAGAU
rnacentral:rRNA from 1 species